UACGUAGGGUGCAAGCGUUAAUCGGAAUUACUGGGCGUAAAGCGUGCGCAGGCGGUUGUGCAAGACCGAUGUGAAAUCCCCGGGCUCAACCUGGGAAUGGCUUGGUGACUGCACGGCUAGGAGUGUGUCGAGGGGGGGUAGAAUUCCACGUGUAGCAGUGAAAUGCGUAGAGAUGUGGAGGAAUACCGAUGGCGAAGGCCAGCCCCCUG
rnacentral:rRNA from 1 species